rnacentral:rRNA from 1 species
UACUAUGGCCCUGCCACCCUGAACAAGCCCGAUCCCAUCUGAUCUCGGAAGCUAAGCAGGGUCGGGCCUGGUUAGUACUUGGAUGGGAGACCACCUAGGAAGACCAGGUGCUGUAGGCG